GAUGAACGCUAGCGGGAGGCCUAACACAUGCAAGCCGAGCGGUAUUUCUUCUUCGGGAGAGAGAGAGCGGCGUACGGGUGCGGAACACGUGUGCAACCUGCCUUUAUCUAGAGGAUAGCCUUUCGAAAGGAAGAUUAAUACUCUAUAAUAUAUUAAUUGGCAUCAAUUGAUAUUGAAAACUCCGGUGGAUAGAGAUGGGCAUGCGCAAGAUUAGCUAGUUGGUGAGGUAACGGCUCACCAAGGCAAUGAUCUUUAGGGGGCCUGAGAGGGUGAUCCCCCACACUGGUAAUGAGACACGGACCAGACUCCUACGGGAGGGAGCAGUGAGGAAUAUUGGUCAAUGGGUGCAAGCCUGAACCAGCCAUCCUGCGUGAAGGAUUAAGGUCCUAUGGAUUGUAAACUUCUUUUGUAUAGGGAUAAACCUACUCUCGCGAGGGUAGCUGAAGGUACUAUACGAAUAAGCACCGGCUAACUCCGUGCCAGCCGCCGCGGUAAAAC
rnacentral:rRNA from 1 species